GUUGUAUAGUUAAGUGACUAAGCGUACAAGGUGGAUGCCUUGGCAAUCAGAGGCGAAGAAGGACGUGCUAAUCUGCGAAAAGCUUGGAUGAGUCGAUAAGAGGCGUUUAAUCCAAGAUAUCCGAAUGGGGAAACCCAGUAGAUGAAGAAUCUACUAUCAACAAGUGAAUACAUAGCUUGUUGAGGCAAACCGGGAGAACUGAAACAUCUAAGUACCCCGAGGAAAAGAAAUCAACCGAGAUUUCGUCAGUAGCGGCGAGCGAAAGCGAAAGAGCCAGUAAGUGAUAACAGUAUGGUUAGGAGAAUGUGUUGGGAAGCACAAUCAAAGAGGGUGAUAAUCCCGUAUCUAAAAACCAUAUUGUGGUACUAAGCUAACGAGAAGUAGGGCGGGACACGUGAUAUCCUGUUUGAAGAAGGGGGGACCAUCCUCCAAGGCUAAAUACUCCUGAUUGACCGAUAGUGAACCAGUACUGUGAAGGAAAGGCGAAAAGAACCCCGGUGAGGGGAGUGAAAUAGAACCUGAAACCUUGUACGUACAAGCAGUGGGAGCCCGAAAGGGUGACUGCGUACCUUUUGUAUAAUGGGUCAGCGACUUAUAUUUUGUAGCGAGGUUAACCGAAUAGGGGAGCCGAAGGGAAACCGAGUCUUAACUGGGCGACUAGUUGCAAGGUAUAGACCCGAAACCCGGUGAUCUAGCCAUGGGCAGGUUGAAGGUUGGGUAACACUAACUGGAGGACCGAACCGACUAAUGUUGAAAAAUUAGCGGAUGACUUGUGGCUGGGGGUGAAAGGCCAAUCAAACCGGGAGAUAGCUGGUUCUCCCCGAAAUCUAUUUAGGUAGAGCCUUGAGGUGACACCUUUGGGGGUAGAGCACUGUUUCGGCUAGGGGUCCAUCCCGGAUUACCAACCCGAUGCAAACUACGAAUACCAAAGAGUGAUACUCAGGAGACACACGGCGGGUGCUAACGUCCGUCGUGGAGAGGGAAACAACCCAGACCGCCAGCUAAGGUCCCCAAGUCUAUAUUAAGUGGGAAACGAAGUGGGAAGGCUUAGACAGCUAGGAUGUUGGCUUAGAAGCAGCCAUCAUUUAAAGAAAGCGUAAUAGCUCACUAGUCGAGUCGGCCUGCGCGGAAGAUGUAACGGGGCUGAAAUAUAGCACCGAAGCUGCGGCAUCAGGCGUAUCACUAAUACGCCUUACGAUUAACAAGCUAGAAUGGCGCGAAGCGGCAUGAAAGGUUGUUCAAGCAACCCGAACGUUGAGUCGGGGUAUUUUUGAAGUAAGGAUUAUUAGUGAUACGCCUGUUGGGUAGGGGAGCGUUCUGUAAGCGGAUGAAGGUUAAUCGAGAGGUUAGCUGGACGUAUCAGAAGUGCGAAUGCUGACAUAAGUAACGAUAAAACGGGUGAAAAACCCGUUCGCCGGAAGACCAAGGGUUCCUGUCCAACGUUAAUCGGGGCAGGGUGAGUCGGCUCCUAAGGCGAGGCUGAAAAGCGUAGUCGAUGGGAAACAGGUUAAUAUUCCUGUACUUGGUAAAGCUGCGAUGUGGGGACGGAGUAGGUUAGGUUAUCGCACUGUUGGAUAUGUGCGUUUAAGUUGGUAGGUGGGAAGUUUAGGCAAAUCCGGACUUCUAUUAAACACUGAGAGAUGAUGACGAGGCUCUACGGAGCUGAAGUAACUGAUACCACACUUCCAGGAAAAGCCACUAAGCGACAGGCUUUACUAAACCGUACUGAAAACCGACACAGGUGGUCAGGUAGAGAAUACUCAGGCGCUUGAGAGAACUCGGGUGAAGGAACUAGGCAAAAUAGCACCGUAACUUCGGGAGAAGGUGCGCCGGCGUAGAUUGUAGAGAUUUACUCUCGAAGGUUGAACCGGUCGAAGAUACCAGCUGGCUGCAACUGUUUAUUAAAAACACAGCACUCUGCAAACACGAAAGUGGAGGUAUAGGGUGUGAUGCCUGCCCGGUGCUGGAAGGUUAAUUGAUGGUGUAAUCGCAAGAGAAGCACCUGAUCGAAGCCCCAGUAAACGGCGGCCGUAACUAUAACGGUCCUAAGGUAGCGAAAUUCCUUGUCGGGUAAGUUCCGACCUGCACGAAUGGCAUAAUGAUGGCCAGGCUGUCUCCACCCGAGACUCAGUGAAAUUGAAAUCGCCGUGAAGAUGCGGUGUACCCGCGGCUAGACGGAAAGACCCCGUGAACCUUUACUAUAGCUUGACACUGAACAUUGAAUUUUGAUGUGUAGGAUAGGUGGGAGACUAAGAAGUAGUCACGCCAGUGAUUAUGGAGUCAUCCUUGAAAUACCACCCUUUAACGUUUGAUGUUCUAACGAAGAUUGCGGAACGCGGUCUCGGACAGUGUCUGGUGGGUAGUUUGACUGGGGCGGUCUCCUCCCAAAGCGUAACGGAGGAGCACGAAGGUUUGCUAAUCACGGUCGGACAUCGUGAGGUUAGUGCAAUGGUAUAAGCAAGCUUAACUGCGAGACAGACAAGUCGAGCAGGUACGAAAGUAGGUCAUAGUGAUCCGGUGGUUCUGAAUGGAAGGGCCAUCGCUCAACGGAUAAAAGGUACUCCGGGGAUAACAGGCUGAUACCGCCCAAGAGUUCAUAUCGACGGCGGUGUUUGGCACCUCGAUGUCGGCUCAUCACAUCCUGGGGCUGAAGUAGGUCCCAAGGGUAUGGCUGUUCGCCAUUUAAAGUGGUACGCGAGCUGGGUUUAGAACGUCGUGAGACAGUUCGGUCCCUAUCUGCCGUGGGCGUAGGAGAAUUGGUUGGGGCUGCUCCUAGUACGAGAGGACCGGAGUGGACGCACCACUGGUGUUCCGGUUGUGUCGCCAGACGCAUUGCCGGGUAGCUAAGUGCGGAAGAGAUAAGUGCUGAAAGCAUCUAAGCACGAAACUUGCCAAGAGAUGAGUUCUCCCAAUCUAAGAGAUAGUAAGGGUUGUUGUAGACUACGACGUAGAUAGGUCUGGUGUGUAAGUGUAGUGAUACAUUGAGCUAACAGAUACUAAUUGCCCGAGAGGCUUAACUAUACAACGCUCAAG
rnacentral:rRNA from 1 species